rnacentral:lncRNA from 1 species
GCAAUGAUUUUGAGGUACCAUUUGAGUCUCUGGAGUAUGAUUAUGACACGACCCAAACUAGGGCCUAGUCGUGUCGGGUGCCUCAAGCCCAACCAGGGUUGGAGAGCAUCCCCAAUACCCAACCACAAUCACCCUACACCCAAUGUUUGAUAAUUUUUGAAUGUACAUAUAUAACAUAAAAAAAAUGAAAUAGUCAUAAAUCAAAUACAUUUAAUCGGUCUCUACCCCAAUACCAAUACCAAUACCAAUGCCAAGGCUGACAUCAUUGCCGACAGCGCCCAUACCAACCCAAAGUAGUCCCACAAAGCCUAUAUCUGAAAGUAAAACAAUACUCAGUCGGGAUAUGCCCCCGACUAUAGCCAAAACCAAAGUCUAAGAAAUAACCAAAGUAUGUAGAGAAAUCCAUAACAUGAAAUGGAGCCUUCCGGAGUAUGGAAGCUCACCACUUCAUCCCGACACAAAUUGUCCCCAAAUCCAAUCACUGAGCAGGAGGAGUAGUAUGACCAGUUCCUGCAUCGUGUAGGAAUACAACGCCUGAAGAUUGGUUAGCAGGUGAACGCUAGCAUGUACUCAGGAUAAGGAUAAGAUAAUGUCAAUAUUUAAAACCAAGUAAAUAAUCAUAUACAAUCACAUAAAUGUAUAUAUAUAUAUAUAUAAAAAUCUAUGUCGGGAAAGGGAAUUAGGUUUAGCAUGUAUUUAAAACUUUAACCUAGGUUUGUGUAGCUUUACCAUUAUAAUCUAACCACAGGCUAUAUGGGUCCAGUGUUACCCCCUAACGGGCCCCAGUGUGUGCAGCCGCGUGAACCAGAGAUAUCAUAGGGGUUGGGGAUGCCCGUGUACCCUUCGCCCUCCAUGAUACAUAUAUACAAGUAUAAACUUAGGGGAUUCUCGUGUACCCUACAAAUACAAGGUUGCCAUGACCAACUCUCAUAUCGACAAAUAAUUGUUUCCAGUGUCCAUCCAUCAGACUCACACCUUCAUGGUAAGUCAUCAAACCCACUAUUAUUGCCCAAUUAAAACAAUUAGCACCCAAUAAAACCACUAAUUCCAUCUAUUAUUAACCAAGGCUAUAAGAAGUGGUAUCGUCAUACCGACUAUAACUUACAAGUAAUGUCCUUAGCCAAUCACAUAGAGGAUUUUUAUGUACCCUGUAAGUUUGAUAGACCCAAAUUAUACCUCUCUUAUGAGAGAUAAAAUGCUCAUUGUCAAAUAUAUAAUCCAACUAGGUUGGAGUCGAAUCCCACAGAAAAUAUCAUGUUCACUAAGUAUUGUGGUUGUUACUAGACUGUUGAUCAAAGGUUUCGAAUUAAAGAGGAGUUUUGGUUUAUAAGUUUUAUCUUGUUAUUUGUAACAGAAAAUGUUCCAGUCAGUUAUUCUUAUUGCAAAUAAUAAUUCAAUAAGAGUAGACAACUAGAGUUACGAUUACCAAGAUGUUCAAGCAUCUAAGGUUGUGAAUUAUUAUGAAUUUCCACUUAAUCACUUCAAUUGCAAAAGUUAUUGAAUCCUAUAAUUUACCCAUUUGUCUCUCAACCUAAAUAAAUAGAUUAUCCUUGUCGCACCCCAUUUUUCUUGCGGAAAGAGGGAUUUGACGUGACCACUCUUUUUGGGAUUGUUUUGAGAGAACAAUGUGAAGAGUCGCCACCUAACGAAUUAAGGUGCAUUAGGACAUCGAUCUAGGCCAACUACGAACCUAUUUUUGUUGUUUUGUUUUAGUUCACCAGAAAUUCAGGUAAGGGUUCAAAUUACAUCAAAAAGAAGGUGUUAGGCACCUUUCGAGGUCCACGAAGAUGGUUCCUGGCCGAAUUUGUAUUUUACAUGGGGAUUCUACAUGUUCAAAUAAGAUCGCUUAUUUCAUUAUUAGUUGAUGCUAACUAAGUGAUAAAAUAGUAAAUAAGUAAAACAUGUUAUUUAAUUAUUUCUAAUUAAUAAAUAUCUAUGUGAUUAAAAUCAAUUAAACAUAGGAGAGAAACAAGCAAGAAGAAAGAAAUGACAUGAGAAUAUUAAAUUAAGAAACAUAAACUAUCCUAAAAAAUAUAGUAUUAAUUAAAUUAAUAAAGUAAACUAUUUUCAGUUUGAAUAAAGCUAUUUGAAGAAAAUGUUUGUCGCUUUUAUAUGAAAGAUGUCAUGAUAUUAUUAAUCGCACCCUUUUACCUUGACAACAAUUAUGAUUGGAGGUCGGUCUUAAGUAAAAAUAACAAUAAUACAAUUUUUAAAAGACAAGUGAAAAUUUGAGUACCAAAAUAUAACACAUAAAAAUAUUUAUAUAUGUACAGAUUUACAUAAUCUUCAAAAAAAACUUUGGCAAGUGAUAUUCCUAAGGACGCAUCGGCUUGAUUUUAAAACAUGAGAAUUAGACCUCAUAAUUCUUUUUACUUACCCGCUAACUAUAAGUUAGGAGAUAGUAUUUAUGUAAUUAAUAAUUUUAAAAAGACAUUGUCCAAUUCAAGUUGCAAAAAGAAAGAAAAAAAGAAGUCAACAAUUAAUGUUGUGUUUUAAAAAUGUUUGCACAAACAAAGUAGGAAAAUUUGUUAAUAUGCUGAAAAUGUUAUUUGAAGACUAAAAAUUAACAUAUAAUUGUUGAGAAUGUGAUUUAAAAUGCUAAAAUGUCAUUUGUGAUAUGUCAAAGCUAUGCCAAAAGUAAAUAAAUAUGUUGUAAGCUAAGUUGACAUAUUCAAACGUGAUUUAACAAGGCAAAAUUAAUUAAACUUCUAAAAGUAUGAUUUCUAGGAUAUUAAAAUAAAUCCUAAAUUAGGUUUGCCCAAGUGAUUUGCAUAAUACGUAAAUCACAUAAACCCCGUCCCCCCAAACAGUCCCAUAAAUAUUAUUACAACAUAUCGUUUGUAAAAUAAUCCUCAUGGACCAAUAAUAAAUGAAAUAAAAGAAAAACUAUGAAGAUCUAGAUUGGAUAGCUCUUAACGACUACAUGUCAACUCUGUCUCAUCUAAAUACUCAUUCUUAACCAGUGAUCACAAAGAAAGCACCAAAACACAUUCCGAAUCUAGAAUACCUUUGGCAACACAUAACUAACCUUUGACAUUGUCAAGAUCCUAAGGAUAUCAGGGAUCCCAGGAAGGCUCACGCCAAAGAGGCUCUGUGACAUGCAAAAAAUAUUUUAGAGUCAUGUACAACAAGCAUGCUAAUGGAGAAGAACAGUUAGAAAAAGAAAAUAUGUCUCAACUAAUAUGAAUACCCAAUAAGAGUCACAGAAAUGCAAAAAAAAAAACAAAUAGGAGGUUCAUGUCGUCAAGCAUUUAAAGUAUGCAAAUCCAAGUAAAAAUCAUAACCACAUAGUGUAAAAGAAACUAAUGCAUCAUUGAAGAAAAUUAACCUAUUUACAGCAUAAUAACAAAAGAAGAUUGAAAUUUCAAGAGUAGAUAAGAAGUCGUACGAGCAAACAAGAAUUAGCGAUCUCAAAGUAGAAGCAGCAAACAAAAUAUAGCACUAAGUGUAGUGUAGAAUAUUGUAGAAGUGAGAGUAGGAGUGUAUGAGAAGAGGUCUGACAAUUGAAAGAGAGGAUGUUUAUAUAGCAAAAGAGUAGAGAAAAUAAAAGGAAAGAGAAUAUUUGCAAAUUCAAUCAAAUCAACUAAAAAAAAUAAACUGCUCAUAUUUACCUUAAUAAACAAGUCAAAAUAUUAUUCGAUCUUCAAGAGGCCAUAAAAAUAGGGAUACCAAUGGAUACUUCCCAUGUUAAGAAACAUAAUCACAUCAAAUUAGCACAGAAUAGAUCCAAUUAUAAUAGGGGGUAAACAUCUAUUUGCAUAAAAAAAUCCACAUGCUUAAAAAGCAAAAAUCAUAAUACACCCAAAGAACUACUAUACUACUAUAAUUACGCUAGUAAUCCAAUCAACCGGCUCAAAUUUUCGGAGUCAAAAUUAUGAUAGUAGACAAUGAAAUUGCAUUCCUAAGAUGAAAUCUAGGAUUAACGAAAAAUUCAAAAUUAGUCAUUUUACAUAAAAUAAACUUGAAACCAGAAAAACAGAACAACAAUAUAACCACAAAUUUUAAGUUUAAAGAAAAGAGGAGCAGAAUAGAAUUAUAAUUGCAUGUAAAAAUUAAAUAUGAAAUUCAACCUAGGAUGGGUUCAUAAGAACCCAUCAUUUUUUCGGCGAGAUGUGGUGGCAGUGUCAUGGGAUGCACGGAGACACAACAACGGCGGCUGCAAUGAGAAGGCGGGCUGGUUCAUGGGUAGCCGCUGGUCUGCAUGGCUGUUUUAAGGUCGCCACGGCAGUAAAUGGAGCAUCGGAGCUCCAAUUUGGUGGCUUUUGAUGCGGGUAGUGGCGAUGGUGAGGUCCGACUAUCAUUAACAGUGCUUCAUCAGUCAUCACCUCCGGUGAAGCAGCAAUGAUGGGAGGCAGCGCUGAUCGAAGGUGCGGUGGGAUGGAUGGCUCGCUGGUGAGCUGCCGUUGUUUUAUCCGGCAGUGGAGAUGCGUCGGAUCUGGGCCACUGUGGCACUGGGCCUUCACCGGUGUCGACUGGUGUUGUUGUCCGUUCAACGGCACUUAGCCGUCGGAGAGAAAAAUGGAGCAGAGGGGGUUUGGGCUGUAGGCAGUCGCCGGUGGCUGAUGGAUGGCGGCGGCUGGGGAGUUCUAUAGAGAAGGAGGAGAGAUAGAGAGAGAAAGUGGGGAUGGUGUGCAGUUGAUUUGGUGGAAUGAGUCUAAGGUUAGGGUUUUGAUUUUUUAAGAGAAAAGAAAGAGAUCCUUUGAUCUCAGUCGUUGGAUCAGUUUUGAUCGACGGCUGAUAUUUAAUGGUUGAGGAAUUGGUCAAAAAUUUAAAACAAUUUAAAAUUAAGCCCUAAUUGGCUAUAAUUGUAAUAAAAUGGCUGAAAUUGUAAUGUCUUGGGUAAAAAAUGGACUAAAAGAUAAAUAAAUUAGGUAAAUUGAUUUAAAUUUAGGCUGUUAUUUAAAUAAUAGUAGGGAUAAUAAUAGUAAAUAAUAUAUAAUAACAAUAAUAAAUAAUACUAAUAUUAAUAAUAAUAAAUGUUAUAAAAAAUGAUGUAUUUGAAAAUUGAGAGUAUGCCUAUUUAUGAAAAUAAUUAUCAAAAAUUAUGUCGAGAAAUAUUAUAUUUAAAUUAAUGAAUGAUAUUGUAAGGUGGUAAAAUAAUUUGUAUAUUUUAAAAUCGUGAAUUGACACGUCAAAAUCUGUUUGACGCAAGAAAAUUGUGUAAAAGUAUCAACAUUUAAAAUUGGUAAUUUUUGCUAAAAUAACAACCUAAAAUGAGUAUCAGGAGGUACAAAAAGCAUUGUCAAGCAACAAAAGUUGACGUGGUAGCCAAUUUUGUCCGACCGAGGAAGAUUCUUUGGAGUUAAAACAUUAGGAGGUGAUUUUAAAAAUAAUGUGGCCGAGACUUCGAUUUCAAGUCGCCUACAUAUCUCUGGUUUAAUGAGAAUCAGGCCAUUUGCAGUUCUAGAUUUAGGAAUGAACAAUAUUCCUAAGGAAUGACAGUGAUAAAGGAUGGGCAUUCAACAAAGGUGUUGUAGGUCGGUCAAUGAGAUGGAAUUGAAUGUGAUUUGGAAUAGUGACAUAUGGAGAAGUUUGAAAAUAUUGAGGUAGGUGAGGUGAUGGAUAAAUUGAUUGGGUAAUAUUUCAUAAACAGUAACUAAAAUUGUCUUUGUUUGUUAUUCCUUCUUUGUUACCUUCAUAUUUAUAGCGUACUAAAUAACAAAGGUUAGACAUGUAAGAAAUAAACAUUUGAUAAAUAUAAAGUGAAGGUGGAGACAAGAAAGAUAUCUGUUGUAUCGUGGGAUCAGCGGUUUGGCUUCUCGAUUUACUAUGGAAUCGUGGGAUCAGCUGUUUUUCUUCUCAUCGUGGAGUAAUCUGUACCUGUUAGUCCUAUCACACUUAGCUCAAUUGGAUAAAAUGGUUAGCACAGAUAUAUAUGUAUGUAUAGAAGAUUUGAUCAAUGUAGUGAAAACAGCCAUAACAAUAAUGAUAAGAAGAGAUAAGAAAGCGUACUGUCAUGAGAGAGUAAUGCUUUGUUCAUAUAAAAAUUUGAAGAGGUCGUGCUUAAUCCAAACCAUAUCCAGUAAAGCAAUUGCAUUUAAUAACACAGAGGCCGUUAUGCUUAGCAUGUUCAGUAGUAGAAAACAAUAUUCAUUUUUGAGUAACCCAAUUGACUUUCAGAGGAUAAUGCUUAGCCUCAGGAAGUUUCUCAAAUUUCCAAAACAAUUCUUAGCUUCGGACAAUUUCUCGAGGGAGAGUAAUACUUAACCCAACUAACUUUCAAGGACAAUGCAUAGCCUCAGUCAGUUUCUCGAAAGAGGGUAGUGCUUAACCCACUUAACUUUCCAAGGACAAUGCUUAGACUUAGAGAGUUUUUGAUAGAGUAGUUCUUAACUCCAUUGAAUUUUUGAAACAAUGCUUAGUUCGGAUGAUUUCGCAAGAGAGAGUGGUGCUUAACCCGACUAACUUUCAAGGAUAAUGCUUAGCCUUAGUCAGUUACUCGAAAAAGAGUAGUGCUUAACCCACUUAAAUUUCCAAGGACAGUACUUAGCCUUAGAAAGUUUUUGAUAGAUUAGUGCUUAACUCCAUCGAGUUUCCUAACCAUCUCUUAGUUAGGAUGAUUUCUCAAGAGAGGAUAGUCUUAACCCAACUAAAUUUCAAGGACAAUGCUUAGCCUCAGUCAGUUUCUCAAAAGAGGGUAGUUCUUAACCCACUUAACUUUCCAAGGAAAAUGCUUAAACUUCGAGAGUUUUUGAUAGAGUCGUUCUUAACUCCAUCAAAUUUCUAAAACAAUACUUAGCUUCGGAUGAUUUCUCGAGAGAGGAUAGUGCUUAAUCCAACUAACUUUCAAGGACAAUGCUUAGCCUCAGUCAGUUUCUCGAAAGAGGGUAGUGCUUAACCCACUUAACUUUCCAUGGACAAUGCUUAGCCUUAGAGAGUUUAUGAUAGAGUCGUGCUAAACUUCAUCAAAUUUUCAAAACAAUGCUUAGCUUUGGACAAUUUCUCGAGAGAGGGUAGUGCUUAACCCAACUAAAUUUCAAGGACAAUGCUUAGCCUCAGUCAGUUUCUUCAAAGAGGGUAGUGCUUAACCCACUUAACCUUCCAAGGACAAUGCUUAGCCUUAGGGAGUUCUUGAUAGAAUCGUUCUUAACUCUAUCGAAUUUCUAAAAUAAUUCUUAAUUUGGAUAAACUUAUUGAGAGAGGGUAGUGCUUAACCUAAUUAACUUUUCAAGGACAACGCUUAGCCUCAAGAAGUUUCUCUCAAGAGGGUAGUGCUUAACCCACUCAGAACAUAGGAUGAUAAUAAUUAGCCUUAUAUCUUGUGACGGUGCAUGGAAUGCUUGAGAUUUGUACCCAUCACUCUAUUCCUGCACUCAAAGAAAAAUUUUUAGUUUUAAAAAGGAAAAAGAUUGAUUCGUGUCUCUGUUAAUUCCUUUGCCCAGGUCCUGAAUCCAUUGUCUUUAUGUCGCUUUCUUGAGAUGCAAUACUUGAUAAAAUUUUGAGGAUCCUAAAAAAUUUCUGCCCCAGCUUUAUGGACUCAAUCUUGCUAGCCUUGAAUUUGUUAAAAUGUUUCUUGAUAAAAUUUUUGAGACCCUCUCAAAAACUCUGCCCCAAUUACAUGUUUCGUCUGUCUUAAACUUGUAGAAUCAUAGAAUUUUUGAAAUCCUUUCUGCCCCAGUUACAUGUCUCCUUCUUAACCAACUCUUGCAUAGGUGGGUGAAGACGGCAUUGAUGCUCAAUGGUAGGAGUGCAAUCUUCCUCAAGCUGAAUUUUAUGCAAGCAAAUACCCGGAGAAAUGCCAAUAAUAUCCGUAAUAGUCCAGCCUAUCACCCUUUUGUACCUCUAAAACAGUGAGAUGAGUGCCUCCACUUGUUGUUCCUCCAGAUCUUCUGCAAUAAUCACAGGUAAAGUGUUUCCAUUGCCUAUAAACACAUACCGUAAAUGGCCUGGCAAUUCCUUCAACUCCAACACUGGUGGCUCUUCAAUAGAUGGCUUUGCCGGUGGUGUUGGGCGAUUUUUAAGAUCUAGAUCCAGCUUCUUAGAAGCAUAAGAGUAUGAACCCAUCCUAGUCAAGGAACACACAGUCUCCCCAUACUCUUUAAUGUCUUUGCUAUCGAAAUUGAUCAAGACUAUAGCCAAAGGCUCAACAGCAAAUCUAUCCUCUAUUGUCACUUCUUAAUCAUCCUCAUAAUAAACAUCAACAACAGAUAACACACUCAUUUCCUUGUUCUGUUUCAUAGAUUGACACACAUCAAACCGAAUUACUUCAUUAUUAAGCCUGAAUAAGAGCUCAUUAGCUCACAAGUCAAUAAGUACGCUUCCAGUUGCAAGGAAAGGUUGACCCAAGAUUAUGGGAACCUCUAAGUCCACCUCACAAUCCAGAAUAACAAAAUUUGUAGGGAAUAUAAAGCUGGCUACCUUCACUAGCACAUCAUACAAAAUACCCACUGGCCACUUUAUCGACCUGUCCACCAUCACUAGUCGCAUGUUUGUGGGUAGAAGAUCCACCAAACCUAACUUCUUAUAAACAGCAAGCAGCAUCAGGUUAAUACUCGCUCCCAGAUCACACAAGGCCUUAGAAAAAUCAAGAGACCUGAUAGUACAAGGAAUAGUGAAUGCUCUUGGGUCCACUUUCUUUUGCGCCAAAGACCUUGUUGAAAUAGCGCCACAGUGGUAAAGGUUUUUCACUAGUUCGUAGAUCACUUCUCUCUUCUUCAUCACCAGGUCUUUCUUAAACUUAGCAUACCCAGGCAGUUGCUUUAAUGCCUCUACUAAAGGCACAUUCACUGUCAGUUGCUUCAGCAUCGCCAUGAAUUUGCUAAACCUUGUAUCAUCAGCUUUCUUCUGUAAUCUAUAAAGAAAGGGAGAUGGUGGUUUUGGGAAAGUGGUAACCACUGCUUUCUUCUCCUUUUUUUUUUCUUUCUCUAACUCAUCAACCUACUGGUGGUUAGAUGUGCUCAUAUUACCAUCCAUCUUUUCAGACUCCACUGGAUGGUUUCAUCAACUUCUACCUCUUCAUCGAUCAUAUCAUUGAUCACAGUCUUGCCUACAGAAGAGCCUGGUAAUAUUUCACCACUCUGAGUGGUAACUACCAUGCAAGAGCUAUCGUUUCGAGGGUUCUAUACUGUAUUGCAAGGAGGGUACCGCUUUUUCUCUGAUUAAAUGCUAUCGAGAUUUGGAUCAUCUGCUGCUCCAACUGCUUAAUAUAAGUUGAGUGCAAAUUUACUAGAUGGAUCAUGGAAAGUCACUCUUCAUCGUCGUCACCCCAGCAUUGGUAGCCUAAAAUCCCUUUAAUAGUUUCUCCAACAUUUCCUCCAUAGAUAUCUUGCAUGAACUGUUAGUUGCAUUGUCCUGGUUUCCAAGAGGUACAUAAAGUCCACUCUUGUCAUUUUGGUUCAUCAACUCCCUUGGUCCCUAUCUUUGUAACCAGCCUUGUCAUAAUAGUUCUGACCUUGAUUGCCUUGGAUAUUGCCUCAGAAACCCUCUGAUUAUUUAGAUAGUUUGCCUCCUCCACAAAAUCAAAAUUAGCUCUACCUUGGGACCAAACAACUUUUACCUUCUCAGUCUUCCCGGAUAAUAAGUAUUUAGUAAGCAGAUCCAUCUAUGUUUUCAUGUGUGCCAUAUCUUGGUCACGCUCCUUCUCUUUCCGACGUUGCUCUACCAACAUACCACAAGACAUAGUAGGGUUUGCUACCGUAGAGUCCCUGGUGUGCCAAGCUCUACUUGUCUUAGUCAACCGUUCCAACAUAUCUGCGGCCUCAUUGAAUGUAAGCUCCAUGAAUACUCCUCCUAUUGCAUUGUCAGCUGUUAGUUUGGUUAAAAAGUUUAGGGCUCUAUAGAAAGUCUCCAUUAAAUGCUCGUCAGCCAUCUUGUGGUUGCGGAACUACAUCAACUUUUUCUUGAAUCGCAUCCAAGUCUCAUGUAGUGCCUCAUUUGGUAAUUGUCUGAAGUUACUGAUUUCAUCCCUUAACUGUAACAUCCUGGAGGGAGGAAAGAACCUUUCUAGGAAAGCUCCUUUUAAUAGCCUCCAAUUUUUUAUAGAAUCAGGGGCCAACUCGUUCAACCCAUUAUUGCCUCCCCAGACAGAGACAGCGGGAACAACCGAAGAUGAAUUACAUUUUGAAAUACCGGUGUUAUCAAAGGAUUUGCAAAUAUUGAUAAAAUUCACAAAGUGCAAGUUUGGGUCAUCCCCUGGAAUUCCUAAAAACAACCCCUUAAGAUUAAGUAGUUGUAUCAUGGUGCUAGUUAUGUUGAAUUUAACUCUAAGUGUCAGUGGAGGUGGAAUAAUUGCUCCUAUAGCACCAUCUUUAUCAAGGUCUUCCUUCUUCUCAUCAAGAUCAAAUUGCACAGCAUGUUGGAGGUUUGCUCUUCCUCAAGCUGCCCAGUUUAUAUUGGCAACCACCUCUAUAUUCUCCACACGCCUCCUAUUUGUUGGGUUAAUCAGAUCAUCAUCUCCCAAAUCUUUAUUAUCAGGAUUAGGGUGACAAGCUGGUUAUCCGUCAAUUUGUCGAUUAACCUGUGCUCUAGCUAAGUUGGCUAGUCUCUCAGCUUUUUAUUGUUCUUUUAUUCUACCAAUUAGAUGCGGUUCAGGAUUGAAGAGUAAUAGCGGUUCUCCUGAACUUCUGGUACGUGGCAUAAAUAACAAUGAACCUACAAUGAACCAAAAAAUACAAAUAAAAGUAAAAUUUGUGAAACUUGACCAAUGGUCAAUUAACAAUCAUAAACUUGAUUGACAGCUGUAAUCCCUGGCAACAACGCCAAAAUUUGAUACACCCAAAUUACAGCUCUCUUACAAGAGAGUAAGCGAUCAUUGUCAAAAAUAUAACCCAACCAGGUUGGGGUCGAAUCCCACAAGGAAUACUGUGUUCACUAAGUAUAGUGGUUGUUACUAGACUGUUGACCAAAGGUUCCAAAUUAAAGGGGGUUUUGGUUUGUAAGUUUUAUCUCGUUAUUUGUAACAGAAAGUGUUCCUAUUAGUGAUUCUUAUUGCAAAUAUUAAUUCAAUGAGAGUAGACAACUAGAGUUACGGUUACCAAGAUGUGCAAGCAUCUAGGGUUGUGAAUUAUUAUGAAUUUCCACACAAUCACUUCAAUUGCAAGAGUUAUUAAAUACUAUAAUUUACCCAUUUUUCUCUUAACCUAAAUGAUUAGGUUAUCUUUCAAUUCUCUUGAUCUUAAAGAAUGCAUUAAUUUAUUCAAUUAUUCUCUCAUGUGGGUUGAUCCCGUUAAGGCAUCAAACCUUAACCCAAAGGUUAAAACCCUUAGAUCCCUUGUAAACCUCUUCUUUUCCUAACAAGCUCUUUUCUAUUCGAACAAGUGAUAUUCUUGGGCUCACCCUUCAAGUUUGCAACCAAGAAAGGACAUUAUUGUGAAGAACAGUUUAUACAACUUCAGUUAACCAUGGAAAUCAAGUGUUUUCACAACCCCAAUCAGCUUUUCACAUUAAGUCUCUCAUAACCCUAGUUAUGGGAGCUUAGCCACACAUCUCUAUAGAAGAAGAAGAAGAAGAAGAAGAAGAAGAAGAAGAAGAAGAAAAAGAAGUCAUUAUGUUUCUCAUAAAUAAAUUUAGGAAUUACUUACAAAAAUCACAUGAUUUGUUCUCGAAUCUUCAAAAGAAAAUAGGCAUAAAAUGAUUAGAUCCAUAAUUCUAGCUUGAUUCACAGAGAAUACUAUGUUACAAUUAUGUUCAAAGUUGGAAAUAUGGUCUAGAAUCCCUAAAAUAAAUCUAAACUGAGUAUUUUAUAUUUUCCCAGGUGUAGAGUAUUUAAAAUUUAAACUCAGAAAAAGCCGCGUCCAAGUUGACGGUCAGGACGAUAUCUCAUCGAAAGCUUGACGGUCCGUUGAAUCAACCAUCGCAAUCGGUCCCAAAAUGGCAUCUUCUAUUAAGGGUCAACAAUUAGGUUAGUGGACCGUCACUUGCCCGGUGGUCCAUCACAUGAGCAGUCACUAGAUCAUCUGAAAGUUCACAUUUUAUUUUAGCCUGACGACCAGUUUGGCGGCCCGUCGGGUGUUCGAUGGUCCACCACUUGGACCGUCGCAGAGAUCAUUCUUUUGGUCAUCUCUAUUUUACUCUGACUAUAACCCUGGCAGUCCGUCGCAUGGCUGACGAUCGUCAAUUGGACCGUCAGUGCCCUUUUCCUUCUAUUUUUCCAAGUUUUUCCUCCUGCUAACUCUUUGACCUAACAAUACUAAAAUCCAGUAUUAAAUAUAUUUGGUGCUUGAAAAUAUAUAAUUAUCCCAGGAAAAAGAUGUAAAAUAUUCCGUCAAAAGAUGAAACAUCAAGGUUCCAUUAUUAGAUUCACUUGGGUGAUUCUUGUGUACCCCACAAGGUUUUUAAUCAAAGCCAUAGUUACUAAGGCCUUGCCAUUUAGCCAUUAAAACCAUUUAAAAAUUUUAGGUUCCAUUACCAUAUUAUACCAUGCAAUGUUUUUAAUAAAAGUCCAACUAUGUAUUUAAAGCAUUCUCAUAGGUAUUUUAAUAUACACGUUAAGGUCAUAUAGUUUCCAAAACAAAAACCAAGUACCAAUUGACCAUUCCCAUGAAGCCACAUGUUCAAACCUUAAUUAUAAUAUGAAAACCAUAAGUAAAAACAUUGGAAAACAUAGAUCAACCAUUAAUAACCAAAACCCCCAACAUAUAAUUAAAAACCAAAUAAUACCCAUAAUUAAAUCAUGAAAACCAUUCAUUAAAACAUUAAUUUGGUUGAACUAAUAAUGAGGGAGGAGUAACAUGCCUUAGAUACCAAAGAAGAUGGAGCGAAAUCACCCUUGAAAGCCCCAAUUGAUAUGCUUGAUGAAAACCCUAAGUGUUCUUGACCUUGAGGAUGUGGGAGUAUUUGAGAGUCUAUUUGAUGUGUUUUUGAUAGUUCAUGAUGCCCUAACAAGGUUAGAAGAUGUGGGUUUUAAGUUGGGAAAAAGUGGAAAUAUAAAGAAUACCAUUAACUUAAAAGUUAAAAAAUGCGUAUGGGAGUGUAUGACUCCCCCUAACUCAUACACAAUCAUACGAGUGGUACACACCACACAUACCCUAGACAGAAUGUUGGACUUUAACACUAUCCAAUGUACGACCCCCAAGGACCAACUCAUGCCAAAUCAUACAAUAAGUACCCAUAACCCGAACCCUAAGCAGAAUACUCUAGGCUAGACACAUUGAGCAAUAUACGAGUGGAUUACCUAACUCGUACCAUCUCCAUAUGAGUCUUAUGAUUCCCUUUCAUAAAUUAGAAAAAAUGCACACUAGACCACACUAAUUAUUAUAUAAGUUAAGGACCCUAAACCAUACAACAUCAUACGACAAGUACCCAUAAGUCGUAUGAUGUCCAGAAGCUCAAACUCAAGAAAUUUUUUAGGGAUCAAAACCUAGGGUAUUUUAGAUUAUUGGAUGUUAUAUUUGAAGAAGGUGAACAUGUUGAGUACUAAUGACAAGCUAAUGCACUACAAAUGGCUGGUGGGCCAUAUUACAAAAGCUACGGAAGGAGCAAAAUGGGGAAAAAGGACAGCCAUUUACAAACAUACAUUGAGUUUCACUACUAAGGCUUGGUGGUCCAUUUUUUAUCACCACAUAGUACCCACAAACGAUGAUAAGGCACUGAGUGCUAACAAGAAAGGGAUGGACAAGUGUAAUACCCUAACUUUUCCUUAAGCCUAAUUUCAUCUCUAGAAGGUUAAGAAAUGACUUCCUAAGUGAGUAACAUUUCAACCAUAUAGAGUUUCCCUAAUUUUGACUUUUUAUCAUGUGGGAAAUUUAAUUAGCUUUCCAACGAUAUAAGAUCCGCCCAAAUCCGAUAACCGGGAAAGAAGUUAUGGCUAAUUUAAGUUCUAGUCAUAAGACACCAUCAUUUUAGUGUUUGGCACAUCGUGGAGAGGGUCUAUUUAAUAAUUGUCAAAUUCCAGUGGAACUUUGCAGUAGUGGCACAUUGCGGAGGACCCUAAUUUCCCAACUUUCAAUUUCCAGUGGCCUAGCACGAUUGUGACACGUCGCGCUGAAGUUCCAGGUCCCAACUAGUGGGACAGCGCAAUGGCUUCACAUCGUGGUGAAUCCCAGAUUCCCAUUUGUCAAUUUCCAGUAAUCCACCGUGAUAGUGGUGCGUUGCGGUGGCCCAUAAAGUCAUGUUUCUAGUUCAAUUUUUCCAGCUUCAUACAGAAGUUAAAAAGGACACUUUAGACUUUUUCAAAGCCUCUUAAACCGUACAAAUAUCAGAAUUAAGGUCACUACAAGCGUCAUAUGAGAUUUUUCUUAAGAUUUCUCUCAACCAAAAACCCUAAGCAUCCAAAUCCUUUUCCAAGAAUCUCAAGGGUUCACCAAUGAUUUUCUAAAUUAAGUCAAGAUUCAAAGUUCCCAAGUCAAAGGCCUCAAGAACCCUCAUUCAAGAGUACGAAUAGAGUCCCAAAAUCUAGAGUUCAUCCAAAGCUUCUAAUUCAAUGUAUGUGGGGUUUGAACAAGGACACUCAUUUCGUCUUUGUACCCAAAAGUUGUUUUAAUUACAAGGAUUUAUGGUUUUACAUGUUUUCUUAUGAAAUUGAAGUAUGGGUUUAUACCCUAGGUUAUUAUUUCUUGAUGUUAUGAUGGUUUAAAUGUUUUAGAAAUUGAAGUACAUGAUUAUGUUGAGAUUGCAAUGCAUAUUGUUGAAAAUUUCCAGAUUUCUAUAUGAUUUAUGAAUCUUUACGAUAUCUAGUAUGCAUUUUAAUGCGUCUUAUCUUGAGAUUGAUUAUGGGUCAUUAAGUCCUAGUUGAGAUUUUAAUUUUAUGAACUUUUGUGCUAUAAGCACCCAUGAUUUGAGUAUUUUGAGAUUAUUGAGAAAGUUUUGACCUUGAUGUUCAUAGUAGCUUUGUAAUCCACUUUACUAAAUGAAAUUAUAGAUUUUAUAGUUGGGUUCUUUAUGAACCAUGAGAUUACUUUAAAGUGUAUUUCCAUGAGAUGAGCGUAGCUAACUAAAGGGAGUAGUAUUUAGCACCGAGCUGGGUAAGUUACUACGGUUUCAUACUCCAGAACUACAUGCCACUAUAGGAUUGAGAUUUAUGGGUGCGAGGCCGAGAUAGUGAUUAUUAAGUUGAGGUUAUACUCUCUGGAAAAAGUAUGACGCCUCUCCCCAACGUGAGGUUUUUUACUUAGGAGGAUAAAACGUUGGACUCCAUCUAGCUCGCAUGGUUUAUGUUGGUUAAGAGAACCUCCAUUCUAGUAAAAGUAAAUAAUCAACUUUUGAGUAUUUUUCCCUAAUAGUAAGAUUUUCUGAGUAGUUUUCUUAAAAUAUAUUUUCCUUAAAGAGAGUAUUUUUCCCUACUAGUAAGAGUAAAUGAUCAGUUCCUAAAGUAAAGUAUGUUCCUUUGAGAUGAGUUAUUGUUCCCUAAAUGUAAAGGCUCAUAGACUUAUCCAAAUAUUAUUUUUACUUUAGAUUUCAGUUUUAAAGUUACAAUCUUAGCUUCCAGAUAUAGAUUUCCGGACCAAGUAUAUUGACUCACGAGAUUUAUACUAUGCAUUCCAUUAUUCAUAAUGUAUGAGAUUUAUAUUUUUAAGUUACUCAAGCUAUAUGAGUCAGUUAUAUCAGCAUGCAUAAUUUUUAUAAAGGUUGAUGAUAUUAUUGUUUUAAUUAUUGCAUACACCCCCAUAUACUCAUUACAUCCUCAAAGUACUGAUCCACAUAUACGUUUGUGUGCUACAUUGUCUCAUAAUGUAGGUUCAGGUGCUUAAUCCCAGCAGUGACAGUGAUCUUCAAGCAUCUCAUCUACAUCUUUAUCCUUGGUGAGUCCUCAUGGUUCAAGGACCUAUAUCUGUAGUUUUCCCGCUUUAAUAGUGUUUUGAGUAUUACUUUCAGACCAGUUCAAGUCAGUUGGGGGUCUGUCCCAAUGUCUUUCCAGUUUGAGUAGUAGAGGCUUUGUCAGACUAGACUAUUAGUUUUGUUUUAUACUUUUCAGUAGUUGAUAUUCAGAAUAUGUUUUCCAGUUAUUUCAGUUCAGAUUUAAUGUGAUACAGCACUAUUGCUUGAUUAUCCAUCUUAAAGUAAGUGUUAGAUGUAGUAGUAGACUUAAAGGAUCAAUUUAGGGCUAGUAGUAGCCUUAAGCACCAUGUGACAUCUCGGGAUGAGAUUUUGGGGCUUUAUAACAAGGUAGAAUUGGAGUUAAAAUUUUUGCAGAUCAUUACAAAAGAGGUUUGGGAGAGUCUGUUGCAUUACUACACUGCUAGCUUCUUAAGCUUGGUGUUUUUCUUUGUUCGAAGUCAAAUAUGUCAUCCAUUAUUGUAGUUGAAAGAUUCAUAUAAUCGACCAAGACCACUAACAUUUCCUUAACAAAGGAUACUUUAAAUUUGGUGGCUUGAGUUUAAGGUUAUUUGACUGAUUUGCCUUCAUAGGCAACUGAGAGAGCUGCAACUACUAAAGAAAUCUUAGUUUUCAAAGUUGGUGAUACUUCUUCAUCUACACUACAACCCACAACACCUUUGAGUACAGGUAAGUUGGCACUCGUCGUCUAUACAUUGGUACCUACAACUUUAAAUAAAUGAUGAAGACGAAUUAGGUUAUACUUGAUGUGUGGAUUAAGAAGUUAGAAGUAAGGUGAAUCCCUACGUGGAGCAUAAAAUUAAGGAAGUGAUACGAGGCAUGCAGACCCAUCUUGAUAGUUUUGAGAGACAAAUGAUAGCUAAGCUAGUCCAGGAUUCUAAUUUAAGCACAGUCACCAUUGAGUGAGGUGAAUUAAAGAAUUGAUAAAGGAGAUUUCUGAAAGGAAGCCUUUGAUUAUGCAAUCUAUGUCGCUCCUGACAUUUAUAGAUUUUAGUGUUAAUGUGGUUGUACUAUAUUUUUACACCAAGGCACUGUAGAUGAGGGAGAGGGUGGGAAGAUAGAUAAGGCAGCAAAAUAAAAUAAAGAAUGGUACACAUCCCUAUAAAUGGAGACAAAGAAAAGCCAAAAGGGGAAAGAAGAAGAAAAAAAAUUAGAAGAAGAAGAAGAGAAAAGAGAAGGAGAGUGGAAGGACCUUUGAGGUGCCUAGUUCAAAGAGGAGUAAGGUCUCUCCUGCUUAUAUUAAUACUAUAGUUUUUGAGGUUGUUAUUAAGGGUAGAGAAGGCAAAGAUAUCUCCCCCGUGAUGUCAUCAUUGAGUGCAUUAGCCGUCACCAGUGCUGACUUGACUAUAAGUGCCACAGCCACAGCCGAGGCCAUAAGAGAUGGAGAGAAAAAAGGGGUUAUAUUUAUGACCCCUACUGAUCAUAGAAAACGGGAUUCAAGUGCACCACAAGUAUGUUUCUACCCUAAUUUUACAUUGUUUUCUUAUUUUGUGCAAUGAGAACAUUGGAUGAUUUCUCAGUUGGGGGUGGGGUGUACCACAUUUGAAGGUUCUUAUUGUCAUGUUUCUUUUCCCUAGAAUGCGCUAUCUAGUUAGAAUCGACAUAUUUAGGAAUUGUAUUUUUGUUUUUAUGUUACUUUUUGUGUGUUUUGGGUAAUCUAGAGAAAAAUAGGAUAGAUUUGUGCAGUCAAAAUAAAAGAGUAUGCAAUCUCUAGUUUUAAUGUGUUUAAAAUGAUACCCCUCCAUAAAAUUUUGUAAUGUUUUUGUUUUCUUGUAUACUUAUCCUAAGCUAUGACAAUGUGAAUUUCAUUAUGGCAUUAGAAUUAUGAGCAUGAUAAUUGUAGCCUAACUUGCUUGAACCAUAUAGGCAAUGACUGAGUAUAUAGCCUUAGGCUAGGUGUGCUAUGAGGUUUACCUAGUCAUAGUAUGUGUGAUCUAGAACUUGCCUGGUUAGUAUCGCCCAAGUUAAAGGUAAGUCAAUUAGAAAAGGAUUGUAUCUCAUUCUUGAAUAAGCCUACUAUAAGCCUAAAAAGCCUACCAAAUGAAAAUAAUAUCCCUUGAUCGCAAAAUUGAGCCUAAAUAGAUCUUUUUCUUGAACUAGCCUAUCCACCUUCCAAUUUAUUUACAAUGAACCUUCUUUUGCGCUGGUCCCUUCUUGGAAAUAGUGUAACUCAAUCUAGGAAAAUCGUCUAUGUAGAGAGUAUCUAUCAUUGGAGUAUGUGAAAGAAAUCAGGUAUGUAGAAGAAGUUAGUAAAUGAAAAAAAAAGAUUCAGGUGCAGUCUUAUGUAAAGAUAAUGAAAAGAAAAAAGAAAAAAUGAGAAGAUUGAAGAAGAAAAAGUUUCAAAAGAAAUAACGAAAAUAGAAAUGAACAAGCAAAAAAAAUUAAAGCUAAGGUCCGAAAGAGUUAAAAAGGGGAUAAAAGUAAAGAAAGUAGGAAAGUGGAGCCAAAGGAAGUAUAGUGCUAAGGAGGAAUAGUCACUUGAUCCAUAUAUACUAUACUCAUUCCUAAGCCUAUAUUAAAAGCCAAUAAGUUCGAUUGUAAUCCUAGUAAGUGUGAGUGUUUAGACUUAGUCUUUAAUCCUAGUAAGUGUGAGUGUUUAGACUUAGUCUUUGUCUUGAUAUUCGUUGCAUAUUCUAAUCCUGAGGGACUUCUUUAAUGUGAGGGCAUCGGAGUGCAUCGUAGUUGUUGCUUAUUUGGUUAGUGUAGUUUGUUUGUGUGCAAGGUUAUAUGAUGAUAAUGUAAUGUUAUUGCUUGAUCCCAUUGUGUCAUGGUAAGGGUUUGUGUACAUAUAAAGAGUAUUGGUUUUAAUGAUAUUUAAAAGGUGUUGAACUUGGUUUUUGAUUCAUGCAUUCUUAAGUUGAGUUAUGAAAAAUAUGACUACCUAGUACACUUAGUUUUCUCUUGGUUAAGCAACGUUUAAUUUAGUUUUUGUGUUGUUUUGUUUGCCUAAGUUAAGGGUGUUGAUGUUCCAUGGAAAAUGAUGUGGUUUUAUGGCAUUUCUAGGUAAAACGGGUCAAGAGAAGUAAAGUUCAAAUUGUUGGACUUAAGGACAUUAUAAAAGCCAUCCUAUGACCAUCAGAUCUGACCAUGGUCGUACCAUGGCUGUCGUGGGUUGAACCAGAGAGAUAGUAUUCAGGUGUUAUUGAGAUGAAAGUAUCACACUUUCAUAUUUAGAUUCUAAUAUCGUAAGAGUGAUCGCGGAAAAAAGUUUCAAAAAAUAUGUUUUCAGAUGUUAAGUAUGAGAAGGAUAAAAUGAGAGGAUUCUAAGAUCGUACCAUGAUACUAUGAGUCUGUAUUGAAUAUUGUGGAAGCAGCAUUCUACCAAUGGGAAAUCAAAGGUAGAUGCAAUGAGAGAGUGUCACAAUCGUACCAAGAAAACACAAACUCAUACUGAGUAUUGUGACAUCCAAUAUCUAAAAGAGGAAAAAGUCAAGUGCCAUCUUACGAGCACCAAAGAUGACCGUGGUAUCUAAUCAUGUACCUUUCUUUGUUCAAUGUGUCAUCUCAGAAAAUCCAAUUAUGUUUAAGAUAAGUUUUACGUUUGUCUAUAAAUACUCCUAUUAGGUCUUUUAUUUUAGUUUACAUUAUAUUGAUACUUUGAAAUAUAUUAUUGUUCUUUGAAGUACAAACAUCGAUUUUUAGGGUUUAAUUUAUGGUUUUCAUAUUAUUCUUAUAAGUUUAUAAUUAUGUUUUCUUCUUAGAAUUAUUGUUGUGUGCUUGUAAUUUGAGUAGUUAAACACCACAACUAGGGUCGUGG